rnacentral:rRNA from 1 species
UCGAACGACAUAGUGGCAGACGGGUGAGUAACGCGUGGGAACGUGCCCUUCACUACGGAAUAGCUUCUGGAAACGGAAGGUAAUACCGUAUACGCCCUUCGGGGGAAAGAUUUAUCGGUGAAGGAUCGGCCCGCGUUAGAUUAGAUAGUUGGUGGGGUAAUGGCCUACCAAGUCUACGAUCUAUAGCUGGUCUGAGAGGAUGAUCAGCCACACUGGGACUGAGACACGGCCCAGACUCCUACGGGAGGCAGCAGUGGGGAAUCUUGCACAAUGGGCGAAAGCCUGAUGCAGCCAUGCCGCGUGAAUGAUGAAGGCCUUAGGGUUGUAAAAUUCUUUCGCCAGGGAUGAUAAUGACAGUACCUGGUAAAGAAGCCCCGGCUAACUUCGUGCCAGCAGCCGCGGUAAUACGAAGGGGGCUAGCGUUGUUCGGAAUUACUGGGCGUAAAGCGCGCGUAGGCGGGCUAUUAAGCCAGAUGUGAAAGCCCGGGGCUCAACCCCGGAAUUGCAUUUGGAACUGGUAGCCUAGAGACCAGGAGAGGUUAGCGGAAUACCGAGUGUAGAGGUGAAAUUCGUAGAUAUUCGGUGGAACACCAGUGGCGAAGGCGGCUAACUGGACUGGUACUGACGCUGAGGCGCGAAAGUGUGGGGAGCAAACAGGAUUAGAUACCCUGGUAGUCCACACCGUAAACGAUGAAUGCUAGUUGUCUGCGCGCAUGCGUGCAGGUGACGCAGCUAACGCAUUAAGCAUUCCGCCUGGGGAGUACGGCCGCAAGGUUAAAACUCAAAGAAAUUGACGGGGGCCCGCACAAGCGGUGGAGCAUGUGGUUUAAUUCGAAGCAACGCGCAGAACCUUACCCGCGUUUGACAUGCCCUGUUUGGUUACCAGA